CACAGUGUUCGACAUAGAAUUUUUCCUUCUACUAUUAAAUAAGUGUUUACAGUCAUGGCAAAGUGCAUCCGCCCUGUUUCAGCAGACAAGUCUGUCAUCGAGAGGUUUCAUAAACCUAGUAAAAUCAAAAUCCACCAUUUCGGAAGACAGGUUUCUAUUUGUACAUAUGAAUCUGAGAAAACGGAACACGAGACUCCAACUACAUAAAACAAACAAACAAAUUGGUGCAGAUAAAGUUAAUUUUAGCUUCUCUAUUGUACUGAAUUGACCAGAGUAUUAAAGACAUUGAACUUGAUUCAGGAAAAUCCCAAAUUUACAUAAAAUGAGAUCAAACUACAAUUAAUGAUAUGAUAAGAACAUCAGUAAAUCUUCAGCGUUUUAUCGUUGAAUACAACAUUAAACUGGUGGUUAAAUAAGAUUCUGGAUAGUGAUCGUUAACAUUUUACUGAUGGACCUAUCUGACUACGUGAUACUCAACAGCUUUCUUACAGGUUGGCAAAGGAAUAUUAACUUUAAACAAAAUGCAAAGGAACAUUUCUAAAAUAAAAAUGAAAUGGGUAAGACAAAAUCCUUUCAACAUUGUA